ensembl:processed_transcript
UCGGACGCAAAACACACACAAACUCUGUGGUCUGGCUGUCUUUUACACUCCCGCAUCCGAUGAAAGAGCACUGCCAAAGCUAAUAAUGUAGAUUUGGAGAGAAAACCUGGAUCAUAUACAGUUAGAUGGGACUGUGAGAGAUGGUUUUGAGGUUGAUCUUCAGGAAACAGCCAUUGUGGAGGAUUUUAAUAUUCUGUCACCUUUAUUCUGCGGUCAGCCGGAAUUCUGUAAUUGCAGCCAGUGAAUGUGAGGGUGGUCAUGACGUGUUUGCCAAAGUCAAAGAGAACAGCCUGAUGGGAACAUUUAUUGCCAACCUCAGUUUUACAGCAGAUCCAUCAGCCCAUCGCAUGCAUUUAAGGCUUUCUGGAAAAGACGCUGGCUGGUUUUAUUUGGAGGGGAAAACCAUCA